rnacentral:rRNA from 1 species
CUGGGGUCGCGUUGAAGGCUCCGCCGAAGUAAAGCAGUGAGCAUCGUGAGCCGCCCAGAGCUCGGUGAAAGUNCACAACAAGCAACUGAGGUUUGACAACCAAUGAUUGUCGUGGCGUUCGUAGCCNGGGACUAAACAUUUGUGCCAACCACGUGUGGUGACGUACUGAAAGCCAUCNUCNGCUCACCGACGCUUCCAAGGGAGGUGCCGGGGGGGGCAACGGCGUGUGACGCCCAGGCAGGUCACCAUCGGCUUAAUGGAGGCUCCGCCGAAGUAAAGNAGUGAGCAUCGUGAGCCGNCCAGAGCUCGGUGAAAGUGCACAACAAGCAANCGAGGUUUGACAACCAACGAUUGUCGUGGCGUUCGUCGCCGGGGACUAAACAUUUGUGCCAACCACNUGUGGUGACGUACUGAAAGCCAUCGUCCGCUCACCGACGCUUCCA